UACGUAGGGGGCAAGCGUUGUCCGGAUUCAUUGGGCGUAAAGCGCGUGUAGGCGGCCAGGUAGGUCCGGUGUGAAAACUCGAGGCUCAACCUCGAGAGGUCAUCGGAAACCAUCUGGCUAGAGUCCGGAAGAGGAGAGUGGAAUUCCCGGUGUAGCGGUGAAAUGCGCAGAUAUCGGGAGGAACACCAAUGGCGAAGGCAGCUCGCUGG
rnacentral:rRNA from 1 species